rnacentral:rRNA from 1 species
CAGCACCUCAAGUGGUCAGGAUGAUUAUUGGGCCUAAAGCAUCCGUAGCCGGCGCUGUAAGUUUUCGGUUAAAUCUGUACGCUCAACGUACAGGCUGCCGGGAAUACUGCAGCGCUAGGGAGUGGGAGAGGUAGACGGUACUCGGUAGGAAGGGGUAAAAUCCUUUGAUUUAUUGAUGACCACCUGUGGCGAAGGCGGUCUACCAGAACACGUCCGACGGUGAGGGAUGAAAGCUGGGGGAGCAAACCGGAUUAGAUACCCGAGUAGUCC